GGUUGGUUAGCUCAGCUGGUUAGAGCAUAGUGCUAAUAACGCCAAGGUCAUGGGUUCAAUUCCCACACUGACUA